GAAAGGGGCGUGGAACCACUCAACAAGAGACUAUUCAUUUUGUUUUCCAGUCAACUUUUGCCAGAUCCGUCAGGCCGGCAGAACCAGGAGCACACAGAGAAGGCACGCUUACAUAGCUACACAUCUACGCCAUAGACCAUGUCGGACUCAGAGACUGCAGCUCCAGUCGAGACCCCUGUCCCAGCAUCCUGUGCGGCCAUCAAGGCAGAUUUAGACAAAUGUGUAAAGGAGAAUGGCGAGGAAGCAUGUAAGGAACUGAUGGAUGCGUUUGCUGCCUGUGUGAAGAGCAAUGCUGAGGCGCCAUGAGGAGCUCAACAUGCAGGAGAAAGGAUUACUGCACUGAGUCCUCCACCUUCCCAUCAUUCCCUGCAGCUCAUGGCACUGGACUAAAUGACUCUGAUGGGGUUGGCAGCAGAGACCAUACUUUUGUCUCUUCCCUUCUCUACCCCCCUGUGAAGCUUAAAUGGAUUCCUCCAACCACCCACCUCCCCUCCCCUUAUGUGGAUGAUUGUGUUGAUCUGAUAUGUAGACAGUUUGGGAGAGCUUAUGAUUUGAUGUAAAUGACGUGUCUCAGAUGCUUACAAAGUGGAAAUAAAGAUUUAAAUAUGGU